GCGUUGCUGCGCUUCGCGCUUGGAACUCAAAUAUCCCCGGGGCCUUACGAUUCCAAACGGGGGCUGUACCUGGUCGGGCCCGUGGGCUCGGUCACACGGCUCCCACCUACGCUGUAGGUUCCCGGGAUCGAAUUUCCGGCGGUCGCCGCGGGGCGCCA
rnacentral:other from 1 species